UCAUGUCUGCCUCCCUCCGUGACUCAUCUU
rnacentral:piRNA from 1 species